rnacentral:rRNA from 1 species
ACUCCACAUACGCAUCCUUUGCUGAGGAUGCGGUUAACGGAGCGAAAGCGACGUUCAACCGCAAAAGAAGCAGAGGGGGCUUAGUGGUGGGGUGACUGCGUACCUUUUGUAUAAUGGGUCAGCGACUUAUAUUCUGUAGCAAGGUUAACCGAAUAGGGGAGCCGGAGGGAAACCGAGUCUUAAUUGGGCGUUAAGUUGCAGGGUAUAGACCCGAAACCCGGUGAUCUAGCCAUGGGCAGGUUGAAGGUUGGGUAACACUAACUGGAGGACCGAACCGACUAAUGUUGAAAAAUUAGCGGAUGACCUGUGGCUGGGGGUGAAAGGCCAAUCAAACCGGGAGAUAGCUGGUUCUCCCCGAAAGCUAUUUAGGUAGCGCCUCGUGAAUUCAUCUCCGGGGGUAGAGCACUGUUUCGGCUAGGGGGCCAUCCCGGCUUACCAACCCGAUGCAAACUGCGAAUACCGGAGAAUGUUAUCACGGGAGACACACGGCGGGUGCUAACGUCCGUCGUGAAGAGGGAAACAACCCAGACCGCCAGCUAAGGUCCCAAAGUCAUGGUUAAGUGGGAAACGAUGUGGGAAGGCCCAGACAGCCAGGAUGUUGGCUUAGAAGCAGCCAUCAUUUAAAGAAAGCGUAAUAGCUCACUGGUCGAGUCGGCCUGCGCGGAAGAUGUAACGGGGCUAAACCAUGCACCGAAGCUGCGGCAGCGACGCUGAUGCGUUGUUGGGUAGGGGAGCGUUCUGUAAGCCUGCGAAGGUGUGUCGUGAGGCAUGCUGGAGGUAUCAGAAGUGCGAAUGCUGACAUAAGUAACGAUAAAGCGGGUGAAAAGCCCGCUCGCCGGAAGACCAAGGGUUCCUGUCCAACGUUAAUCGGGGCAGGGUGAGUCGACCCCUAAGGCGAGGCCGAAAGGCGUAGUCGAUGGGAAACGGGUUAAUAUUCCCGUACUUGGUGUUACUGCGAAGGGGGGACGGAGAAGGCUAUGUUGGCCGGGCGACGGUUGUCCCGGUUUAAGCGUGUAGGUGUGUGUUCCAGGUAAAUCCGGUU